rnacentral:rRNA from 1 species
UAGUCAUAUGCUUGUCUCAAAGAUUAGGCCAUGCAUGUCUAAGUAUAAGCAAUCUAUACCGUGAAACUGCGAAUGGCUCAUUAAAUCAGUUAUCGUUUAUUUGAUAGUACCUAACUACUUGGAUAACCGUGGUAAUCCUAGAGCUAAUACAUGCUAAAAACCUCGACUUCGGAAGGGGUGUAUUUAUUAGAUAAAAAACCAAUGCCCUUCGGGGCUCCUUGGUGAUUCAUAAUAACUUAACGAAUCGCAUGGCCUUGUGCCGGCGAUGGUUCAUUCAAAUUUCUGCCCUAUCAACUUUCGAUGGUAGGAUAGUGGCCUACCAUGGUUCCAACGGGUAACGGGGAAUUAGGGUUCUAUUCCGGAGAGGGAGCCUGAGAAACGGCUACCACACCCAAGGAAGGCAGCAGGCGCGCAAAUUACCCGAUCCCGACACGGGGAGGUAGUGACAAUAAAUACUGAUACAGGGCUCUUUUGGGUCUUGUAAUUGGAAUGAGUACAAUUUAAAUCCCUUAACGAGGAACAAUUGGGGGGCAAGUCUGGUGCCAGCAGCC